UGCCGCGUGCGUGAAGAAGGCCUUCGGGUUGUAAACCGCUUUUGUCAGGGAAGAAAGGGUUCUGGAUAAUACCUGGGACUCAUGACGGUACCUGAAGAAUAAGCACCGGCUAACUACGUGCCAGCAGCCGCGGUAAUACGUAGGGUGCAAGCGUUAAUCGGAAUUACUGGGCGUAAAGCGUGCGCAGGCGGUUAUGCAAGACAGAGGUGAAAUCCCCGGGCUCAACCUGGGAACUGCCUUUGUGACUGCAUAGCUAGAGUACGGUAGAGGGGGAUGGAAUUCCGCGUGUAGCAGUGAAAUGCGUAGAUAUGCGGAGGAACACCGAUGGCGAAGGCAAUCCCCUGGACCUGUACUGACGCUCAUGCACGAAAGCGUGGGGAGCAAACAGGAUUAGAUACCCUGGUAGUCCACGCCCUAAACGAUGUCAACUGGUUGGUGGGAGGGUUUCUUCUCGGUAACCAAACUUACGCGUGAAGUUGACCGCCUGGGGAGUACGGCCGCAAGGUUGAAACUCCAAGGAAUUGACGGGGACCCGCACAAGCGGUGGAUGAUGUGGUUUAAUUCCAUGCCACGCGAAAAACCUUACCUACCCUUGACAUGUC
rnacentral:rRNA from 1 species